UGUGACUCAACCUAAGCUGGCUUGCAUUUUCGUAUUUUGAUUUAUAUAAGAUUUUACAGAAAUACUUGUCAAAUUUCCCUCCCUUGAAUAUGCAAUGUCUUCCAUUUCAUUGUGGACGCAUUAUGAACGAUUGUUAAGCCCGCACUUGCGCACGUGCUGCCAUCUACCGGCCAACUGGGCAGUUCUGUCGUCGCAGUCUUCGUCGCUCGUUGCUUAAGGGAACGUUGUCCGCAGCGCUGCUCGCGUUCCCGAAUUCUUUCCCGACAUUCCGGUGAAACGAUCCCUUCCUGAAAUUGUUGCCAACUCGGAGAUAACACCAAUUCUGUGAACUUCAGCAAGCGCGUCCCAGCUUUGGAACUUCGUCAGAGAUUGGUCUCGUCCAAGGCACCCUCGCGCCAACCACAAGAUGCUUCACUACUAAAUUCAAACCACAUCACAAUGUUUUAACUACAUCACUUUCUUCUGUAAUUUGAAAGACUUUGAAAAAUAUUCACAAACAAAUCCAUCUUGCCAGACACACAUCACGACCUGGCAGUCACGACAAAACUGCAAAUGCUCUCAUUGACCCAGCUUUAAUAGGGGGAGGCUUUAAAGUCCUGCUUGGCACCUCUGUUGCCAGGUGAUGCCAUCAGAGAUGAAUGUGUUUCCUGUACACAAUUACCGCGGCUUUGUGGGCCAUUCUUGCAAACCUGAAUAUGGAGAAGGCAUUUAGAAGGAGCAAGUGCUGCAUCAGAAGUUGCUGAGUGUUAAGAAAAUACAUGAUCUUUUCUUUUUUUAACAAUGGGGCAAAGGCAAAGCUACAAUUCAGAACAAGAGCAUAAAAACCUUUCAAGAUCAUGAAAUGGACAUUAUAGCAUUAAACAUUUAUUUUCUUUUAAAGUUUGGCAAAGACUUUCCAUCAAUUUAUUCCCCUAAGACAUUAAAGAAGAGCACUGGGUGAUUAAUUGAUGUCUUGAAUCAUAAAGGUUGAGAAAUGGAAGACUUCUCUGCCAUUAGUGUCGAAGUUCCAUCAUACAUUUACGAAGAAGAAUCUUGCCGUCGUUAUGUUUUUAUCUUAGGUUUUCAAUCUAAUCUAUAUUAUGUGAAGAAUAAAAAUGAAAAAUCCUUAACGCUUCAACCAACUUACGAUGCACUUUAAGAACAGAAAAACAUUGAGCAGCAUUACAAGAUCUGCAUUAGUAUACGAUAUAUGGAAAAACAUUUUUUUCAUUUUUUUUAUUUUUUUUUUUUAUUUUUUGCUCUUCAUCUUUUAACUAAUUAUAUUCCCUGAAUAAUUUAUGUUAAAAAAAUUGACUUAAGUUGUUAGUUUUCCCUGAUAGCUAACACCCAUUUGAAUGCAUGUGGAAAAAGUCAAAACUGAAGUCAAUACAACAAGGAACACUCUAUGGACCAGUGGGGGAACUUCUCCAAUAUUAAGUACAAAUUCAUGGAUCUUCUAAAAAUCAUCUUUUACUGAACCCUUUCAUUAAAUAAGCUAAUAACCUGGAGACUUAAAUCAGCAAAACUUACAGUAAUUACAUGAAUGGAAGGGAGAGACAGAACGAGUGAGAGACAUACAGAGAGAGAGAGAGAGAGAGAGAGAGAGAGAGAGAGAGAGAGAGAGAGAGAGAGAGAGAGAGAGAGAGA
rnacentral:lncRNA from 1 species